rnacentral:rRNA from 1 species
ACGCCGUUAAACCCCAACUUCUGAAUGUUGACCUCGGAUCAGGUAGGAAUACCCGCUGAACUUAAGCAUAUCAAU